AUUUUCAUAUCAGUAACAUGUGUAAGGGCAGUCAGGAACAAUGGAUCGGGUCGAGAUGAAAGGUCAAAUGUAACAAAGACGACAAAAGGGACUCAUUUAAGGAAAUUUGUGGAUAACGGAAGCAACACUUUGCAAGUGAACAAUUCAGUGGGAGAGUGGUUCAAGAGCUGUGGUGAGUUUGCGCAAAAACUAACUAUGUUUUCAUCUCAUUUAUUCUUUGGCUGACAAUAAACCAUAUGCGGAGUGAUAAGCAUGUAGCCAUGUGUGUUAAUAAACAAAAACCGACGAGGAACGUAUCGAAUUGAGUUCAUGUUGCAAAUUGAAUUGGUUUAUAUACAAGAAUGAAUGGACUAAGUGGGGCUAUGGUGGUAAGGUCUGAAUGUAAUAAGGUAAGUAUACAGGCUCUGGGUGUUUAGUAAUUCACACGCAUUGAGGUCAAUACUGCGUAUACAUGACAUAGUUUUGUUUGAUGUUUUAAUUUAGGGUUUUUUCGCUAUGACUGCAGUAUAGAAAGAAAAUGUGUAUAAAUUGUUGCAAUGUGU